GGGGAGGGACUGUAGCUCAGUGGUAAAGCAUUUACUUUGCAUGCAAAAGUUCUCUGGGUUCAAUCCCCAGCUUCUUCA